GUCUAUGGCUAUGCCACCCUGUUCUCAUCUGAUCUUGGAAGCUGAGCAGGGAAAGGCCUGGUUAGUGCUUGAAUGGUAGACCACCUGGGAAUACGAGUUGCUGUAGGCU
rnacentral:rRNA from 1 species